UAGGGGAAUUUUCGUUCAAUGGGCGCAAGCCUGAACGAGCAAUGCCGCGUGAACGAGGAAGGUCUUCGGAUCGUAAAGUUCUGUUGAAGGGGAAAAAGAGCGGAGAGAGGAAAUGGUCUCCGAUUGAUAUUACCCUUCGAGGAAGUCACGGCUAACUACGUGCC
rnacentral:rRNA from 1 species